rnacentral:lncRNA from 1 species
AAGGCAGGGAAAAUGUCGCCUCAGUGAUUAUGAGCGUUGAGGGGCCAUUUAUGUUUACUCAACUGUGUGCCAAGUACAGUUUUAAUUAAUUUCAAAAGUCGAGGAAUCAUUUUCUGCAGUGUGCCUCAUUGUGCAUACUGAUGUCCUUGAAUAACCUCGGGAAGAAUGAGUCGGUUUUUCCUUGUCAUCUUUUCUUGCAGGUUGAUCCUAAAAUGAAUGACUCCCAUUCUGAAAAGCUUUCUCUCAUUUCAUCUCAUUUUGUUCAUUGGUCCUUAGGUCCCCACCCCUGAGAUCAAGGCUCACAACCUGUACUUUGACCUCUCUGCGUACGGGGACGUCCUGAAGGAGCCGCGGAGCUCCAGCCACACCACAGCCAAACCAGGCUUCCAUCUCAAGAUCUAUGGAACAUUCCGGAACCGCUACAUGGCACUGGCCUGCACGGCGGCCGACAGCAAGAUGCUGCGCUUCCUGCGUCACACAAGUAACUCCUCGAUCAUGAAGAACAUCUUCCACCAGUCGUUUAACGCAUAUAAGAUGGACAUCGAGCCGCGGCUGAGCGAGGUCACCCUGCACCGCAUGCAGUGCAGCAGGAAGCUGUUUGAGGUCAUGCUGUCGCAGCGGCGCGUCAACGCAGCCUACAUCGAGGGCGACAACGUGGCUGUGACUGUGGAGGGGGAAGCAGCGCGCGUGCUGAACUUUGACACAGGCUGCGGUGUGAACCUGGGCAUGAGGGGCCUGGAGGCCUUGGGGACGUUCAUCUACAGCACGGCCACGGCUCAGGACCAGAACGACGUCUUCGAUGCGCUCGCCGCCAAGAUCCAGCACUCCAAACAGCGGCGCAGGAUACAGGAGGAGCGCACGCUGGCACGUGUGAUUUAACGAGGGAGCUGUGGGAAGAUGGAGUCAUCACCGUUAUUAAGUGUCACAACCGACCGUGCAUCACACCCACUGUAUG